AGGUUCAUCGGGCUUGUAUCGAAAGAGAAAUAUACUCACUGUUAGAUCAUCCGUUUCUACAACACUAUAUACUUCGUUCCAGACACCAACACAUGUUUGUCUGAUAACAGACUUUUGUCCUGGAGGAGAAUUAUUUGCACUACUUGAUAGACAACCCAUGCAACUUUCCAGAGAAGAAUCUGCAAGGUAGCUGUUGUGAGUGCACAUUUUGAUGACUCCUUGAUGAUUUUUUAUUAAAACAUGACCAUUUAAUGUAAAAUUUUAACGUGUGCCUUCCAAUUUUGAUGUGUUAUUUCCGUACUUGUGUGGGAGCUUCCACCACUGGGUCUGUCCUUUUUUAUUUCCAUGCUUGUGUCAGAUACAAAUAUUAGCUUAUCUUUAGGAAAAGUACUAAAAUAGCCCACACCUCGUCUCAUAAAUAUUUUUAUAAUCUUAUACAUAUUUUUACUAAUAAUAAUGGUAUAUUUCUUCUUGAAUAUGGUACAAAGGAAGUAGAAAAAAAUGUCAAAAUAGAGAGAGUGAUUAAUAAUAGGGUAUUUUUAAUGGUUCUUAGUUUAUCGUUGUAGCUUGGGUUCAUAAGCUUUGAUUCUUUCCAACGUAUGGAUCCUCUUCCUAAUAGAUAUGGGCUAAUUUGCAAACAACUGCAUUUAAAAAAAAUCAUCUAUCUUUAUUAGGGUUAUACCCCUCUUGCAAAAUUGAAUUUCUAUGAUAUGCUUCUGGUUUAUCUUUUCAUCAAACAAACAGUUCUAGCUGGCAAAUUUCCUGAAUACCUCUAAUUUAACAACUAGUAUUACCUAUGCUAAGGACUGUACAGUUUUCUGCUAUUUUAAUGAGGAUUAUAGAGGUUGAAAAUGAUUAUUUUAAAUUAUUUUCCAUUGCAUUUUUUCUAAAUCCUUUGUUAUGAAUAUUUACUGAAUCUUGCCGUUACUCUCAUUCCCUUGUAUAUUAUUUGAUUUAUAUUUUUCUGCAGAUUUUAUGCUGUGGAGGUUGUAAUUGGUCUCGAGUAUCUCCAUUGCCUUGGAAUUAUAUACUGUGAUCUAAAACCAGAAAAUAUUUUGCUCCAAGAGGAUGGACACAUUUUUUUGAG